rnacentral:tRNA from 2 species
UCCUGGAUAGCUCAGUUGGUAGAGCAAUCGGCUGUUAACCGAUCGGUCGUAGGUUCGAGUCCUACUUCAGGAGCCA